UACGAAGGGGGCUAGCGUUGCUCGGAAUCACUGGGCGUAAAGCGCACGUAGGCGGCUUUCUAAGUCAGGGGUGAAAUCCUGGAGCUCAACUCCAGAACUGCCUUUGAUACUGGAAAGCUUGAGUUCGGGAGAGGUGAGUGGAACUGCGAGUGUAGAGGUGAAAUUCGUAGAUAUUCGCAAGAACACCAGUGGCGAAGGCGGCUCACUGGCCCGAUACUGACGCUGAGGUGCGAAAGCGUGGGGGGCAAACAGG
rnacentral:rRNA from 1 species